rnacentral:rRNA from 1 species
GGGUGAGUAACGCGUGGGUAACCUGCCGUAUACAGGGGGAUAACACUUAGAAAUAGGUGCUAAAACCGCAUAAGCGCACAGGAUCGCAUGGUCUGGUGUGAAAAACUCCGGUGGUAUACGAUGGACCCGCGUCUGAUUAGCUUGUUGGCGGGGUAGAGGCCCACCAAGGCGACGAUCAGUAGCCGGCCUGAGAGGGUGAACGGCCACAUUGGGACUGAGACACGGCCCAAACUCCUACGGGAGGCAGCAGUGGGGAAUAUUGCACAAUGGGGGAAACCCUGAUGCAGCGACGCCGCGUGAGUGAAGAAGUAUUUCGGUAUGUAAUGCUCUAUCAGCAGGAAAGAAAAUGACGGUACCUGACUAAGAAGCCCCGGCUAACUACGUGCCAGCAGCCGCGGUAAUACGUAGGGGGCAAGCGUUAUCCGGAUUUACUGGGUGUAAAGGGAGCGUAGACGGUGAAGCAAGUCUGAAGUGAAAGGCGGGGGCUCAACCCCCGGACUGCUUUGGAAACUGUUUGACUGGAGUGCAGGAGAGGUAAGUGGAAUUCCUAGUGUAGCGGUGAAAUGCGUAGAUAUUAGGAGGAACACCAGUGGCGAAGGCGGCUUACUGGACUGUAACUGACGUUGAGGCUCGAAAGCGUGGGGAGCAAACAGGAUUAGAUACCCUGGUAGUCCACGCGGUAA